rnacentral:rRNA from 1 species
UACAGAGGGUGCAAGCGUUGUUCGGAAUUAUUGGGCGUAAAGCGCGUGUAGGCGGCUUUGCAAGUCGGGUGUGAAAGCCCUCAGCUCAACUGAGGAAGUGCGCCCGAAACUGCAGAGCUUGAGUACCGGAGAGGAUGGCGGAAUUCCCCAAGUAGAGGUGAAAUUCGUAGAUAUGGGGAGGAACACCGGUGGCGAAGGCGGCCAACUGGUCCGGCACUGACGCUGAGGUGCGAAAGCGUGGGGAGCAAACAGG